ACGCUCGACACCUACGGGAAGCAGCAGUGGGGGAUAUUGCACAAUGGGGGAAACCCUGAUGCAGCAACGCCGCGUGAAGGAUGAAGGUUUUCGGAUUGUAAACUUCUGUUCUUAGUGACGAUAAUGACGGUAGCUAAGAAGAAAGCUCCGGCUAACUACGUGCCAACAGCCGCGGUAAUCUGAGCGGGCUGGCAAGGC
rnacentral:rRNA from 1 species